AGGAGCCCUCGUCGCGGUUGCGGUACUUGUACAUGGCGUAGAGGAGAAUGAGGAUGCAGAGCGCCGCCGCCGCCACGAUGCCCACCACCAUGCCCGUGGUGCUGCUGGAUUCGCGGAUCACCUCCACUGCACCUGGCGGGCCGCGCUCCCCCGGACCCGUGGGGAAAAGAAAGAGAAGAGAGAAGAGAGGGCGUCAGCGAGGGCCGGGGCGCGGGCGGCCGGCACAGAGAGAGAAACAACAGCCUCACACCCAAAUCGGUUUAAUUAGCUUUGGCGGAGACUACGCGGGCCGGGCCCGCCCGCCAGCCGGCCAGCGCCUGCGCUUUAAGCGGGCUGCGGCUCGGAUGCCCUGGGCACCCCACGCGCGGGCUCUGUGACUCUGGGUUUUGGUCUUUUUGUUUCGUCUUAAGAAACCAAACGGAACAGAAAGGAAAGGAAAUUGAAAAGAAACGGAAUUUUUUUUUCUACUGGUUUAAGGCUUUAAAAACAUACAACAGCAGCAUUUAAACAAACCUAACAACAAUAUCUUUUAGGGUUUUUUUUUUAUAUAUAUAUUUCUUUUUGCUUUUUUUUUUUUUUUUUGCUUUUGUUUUUAAAAAAGAAGAUAGCAUACCACGGAAUUCAGGCAACUUACAUCAACAAAUAGGCCGUGUGAUUUUAGCAUGAAGAAAAAAAUUACAAACAGAGCUGUGUAAGCGGGUUCUCCCGAAAAAAAAUAAG
rnacentral:lncRNA from 1 species